rnacentral:rRNA from 1 species
UACAGGGGGUGCAAACGUUGCUCGGAAUCAUUGGGCGUAAAGCGCGCGUAGGCGGCUUUGUAAGUUAGAGGUGAAAGCCCGGGGCUCAACCCCGGAAUUGCCUUUAAGACUGCAUCGCUUGAAUCCGGGAGAGGUGAGUGGAAUUCCGAGUGUAGAGGUGAAAUUCGUAGAUAUUCGGAAGAACACCAGUGGCGAAGGCGGCUCACUGGGACGGUACUGACGCUGAGACGCGAAAGCGUGGGGAGCGAACAGG